rnacentral:rRNA from 1 species
AACAUGAGAGUUUGAUCUUGGCUCAGGACGAACGCUGGCGGCAUGCCUAAUACAUGCAAGUCGAACGAUGAUAUCACUGCUUGCAGUGAUUGAUUAGUGGCGAACGGGUGAGUAACACGUGAGGAACUUGCCCAUGAGCGGGGGACAACAUUCGGAAACGGAUGCUAAUACCCCAUAGGUGGAUUGGCCGCAUGACUAAUUCAUUAAAGGUGGCUCUGCUACCACUCAUGGAUAGCCUCGCGGCGUAUUAGCUAGUUGGUAAGGUAAUGGCUUACCAAGGCAGUGAUACGUAGCCGACUUGAGAGGGUGAUCGGCCACACUGGGACUGAGACACGGCCCAGACUCCUACGGGAG